rnacentral:rRNA from 1 species
GAUCUGAAAUCAGGUAGGACUACCCGCUGAACUUAAGCAUAUCAAUAAGCGGAGGAAAAGAAACUAACAAGGAUUCCCCUAGUAACGGCGAGUGAAGCGGGAAGAGCUCAAAUUUAAAAUCUGGUUUGCUUGCAAAUCCGAGUUGUAGUCUGAAGAAACGUUUUCCAUGAAAGCUGAGGCACAAGUCCUUUGGAACAGGGCAUCAUAGAGGGUGAGAAUCCCGUCCAUGGCCUCAAGUCUUUUAUUUUGUGAUACGUUUUCUAAGAGUCAGGUUGUUUGGGAAUGCAGCCUAAAAUGGGUGGUAAAUUUCAUCUAAAGCUAAAUAUUGGCGAGAGACCGAUAGCGAACAAGUACCGUGAGGGAAAGAUGAAAAGAACUUUGAAAAGAGAGUUAAAAAGUACGUGAAAUUGUUGAAAGGGAACCGU